rnacentral:tRNA from 1 species
GGCGGCGUAGCUCAGUUGGUUAGAGCGCAGCCCUGAUCAGCCGUGUGGCCCAGGCUAAGGUCGGACGUUCGAAUCGUCCCGUCGCUACCA